rnacentral:rRNA from 1 species
UACGAAGGGGGCUAGCGUUGCUCGGAAUCACUGGGCGUAAAGGGUGCGUAGGCGGGUCUUUAAGUCAGGGGUGAAAUCCUGGAGCUCAACUCCAGAACUGCCUUCGAUACUGGAUGUCUUGAGUUCGGGAGAGGUGAGUGGAAUGCCGAGUGUAGAGGUGAAAUUCGUAGAUAUUCGGCGGAACACCAGUGGCGAAGGCGACUCACUGGCCCGAUACUGACGCUGAUGCGCGAAAGCGUGGGGAGCAAACAGG